UACGUAGGGGGCUAGCGUUGUCCGGAAUCAUUGGGCGUAAAGCGCGCGUAAGCGGCCCGGUAAGUCCGCUGUAAAAGUCAAAGGCUCAACCUUUGAAUGUCAGUGGAUACUGCCGGGCUAGAGUCCGGAAGAGGCGAGUGGAACUCCUGGUGUAGCGGUGGAAUGCGCGGAGAUCGGGAGGAAUACCAGAGGCGAAGGCGGCGAACUGGACAGCAACUGACACUCAACUACGAAAGCGUGGGUAGCAAACAGG
rnacentral:rRNA from 1 species